UUCCUGUGUCCCUGCCCAAGCUCCAUCCCAGACUCAAGGACUUCAGCAUUACUGGUACCAGCCACUGCCUCACGAACAUAGGAAAACAAACUUGGUAGGUCUGACAUGGGUCUCAGAAAAGCAAAUCCUCCCAAUCUCUACCCCAAAACAAAUACAUCCCAGUUUGAAGAGAAGGGCCUAUGGAGUGUCAUGUCCUACCACUGAGAAAGGGAUCCAGACAUCCCUACCCCCUGAAUGCCUGUCCCAUAAACAUGGACUGUAUUCUAAAGCCGUCAAAGGUUAUGUUAAACGAAA
rnacentral:lncRNA from 1 species